GCUUUGAGUUUGAGUUUAUUUCAGGGUCUUUACUGACAGAGGUUGCUCUCUAGAGAAAGAAAGGAGAUGAAACAAAGAGAGAGGGAGAAGAGAACGGGGAAUAAGGAAAAGGAGGAGAAGAGAGAGGCAGAAAGUUGUUACUGAAAACAAAACAAGGGGAAGAUGAAAGGAAAGAGACCAAAGAGCAGAGACAGAGGGGGAGAGAGAAAUAAAGAAAUGCGGUUUUGAACUAGACUCUGGU